UACAGAGGUGGCAAGCGUUGUCCGGAAUCACUGGGCGUAAAGGGCGCGUAGGUGGCCCGUUAAGUGGCUGGUGAAAUCCCGCGGCUCAACUGCGGGGCUGCCGGUCAUACUGGCGAGCUAGAGCACGGUAGGGGCAGAUGGAAUUCCCGGUGUAGCGGUGGAAUGCGUAGAGAUCGGGAAGAAUACCAGUGGCGAAGGCGGAUCUCUGGGCCUUACCUGACGCUGAGGCGCGAAAGCUAGGGGAGCGAACAGG
rnacentral:rRNA from 1 species